rnacentral:rRNA from 1 species
UACGUAGGGUCCGAGCGUUGUCCGGAAUUACUGGGCGUAAAGAGCUCGUAGGUGGUUUGUCGCGUUGUUCGUGAAAACUCACAGCUCAACUGUGGGCGUGCGGGCGAUACGGGCAGACUAGAGUACUGCAGGGGAGACUGGAAUUCCUGGUGUAGCGGUGGAAUGCGCAGAUAUCAGGAGGAACACCGAUGGCGAAGGCAGUUCUCUGGGCCGUAACUGACGCUGAGGAGCGAAAGCGUGGGGAGCGAACAGG